UAGGGCUGGACAUGCAUAUAGAUCAAUACACAAGACUCACCCACCAAAAACAAACUUAUGUUGAUACAUAAAUAAUAAGAACACCAAAGGCUAAGACAAAGGUGCUAUACCUGCUAAUGAUAAUCACCCACUUAUCCCUACACUUAAUAAUCCUAUGCUUAUCCCUACACUUAAUAAUAUUAUGCAGAAGAAGAAUUAAUGCAGCAACCAAGACACGACUUGAACGCCUUAGGAUUUCUCGACAAGCCAGCACCAUUCUAAUAUUACCAAGAAGUCCCUGAAAAAUUAAGAAUUAUUUAAUGACAUAAUUGAACAAUUUCAAUACAAAUAGCAGUAUAUAUUGGUAAUUCUCUCUAAUACAUUAAUACAAAACAACCCCAAUAUACCUAGCCAAGCGCCCUAAACAAUAUAAAGGAAUUAUACAAGAGCAGCAAAGAUACCAUGAAAUUAGGUACUGUAACAUUUUAUCAACCAAGACAACAAGUCUCAAUGAUGGAACAUAUAUAAAGCUAAUUUCAUGCUAAAUUAACAUCUAAGCUACUCAUGCUAAAUUUCUAAGAUACCAUGAAAUGAGGUACUGUAACAUUUUAAUUUUUAUCAACCAAAUNNNNNNNNNNNNNNNNNNNNNNNNNNNNNNNNUGCUCCCUGACUCGCACCAACCAACUUCAAUACAAAUAACAGUAUAUUGAACAGUUUGUACCCUUAAUCAACCUUUUAUCAACUAUCAUGCAAGAUAUGUUGCAGCCACAUCAAAACAAAAUAAUGCAGUAAAAACAUGGGAAUAUCUACGAACAAUGCAUCAAGAAACAAAACUUACAGGUUGAGGAACAAUGUAAGCUUCUUACGAUGGACACACCUAGAAAGAUAAAAACC
rnacentral:lncRNA from 1 species